UUGGGAAAACCUAUUAACAGGGGGAAUAUCAGAAGAUGGGGACUUGGAAGGAGAGCUAUAAAGGAACUAGAAAAAGUCUUGAACCAAGGCUACAUUUUAAGGAGCCCUAUUUCUAACACAUAUGCAUGAACAGAUAUUUUCUCUUUCUCUUUUUUCUACACAGAGUCUUACAGAGAGAGCUGGUAUUUUUCUUGUCUGUGCAAUCUACUAAGAACUACGAUUUUGCAAGGAUACAAGUUUUAAUGACAAAGAGAACUUUCGGGAUAAAAUAAUACAAAAUGAGAAGAAAGAGAUUACAAAAAUGUAUGACAUUUUGUUAGAGUGGUUCACAGAAACGGAAGAAGUCAAAAAUUGCUCAAUAAAAUGGGCAAGAAAUAUUGGAUGCCCAAUCAGAUUUGCAGAAUGGGAAUUGAUCUGGAAUAAAAAAAUUUAAAUAUACUUAUGCUUCAGAUGUCCAGGAAAACUGGUUCAAGAUGUUUCACCGCUGGCACAUAACACCAAAGAAAUUAGGAAUAAUGUAUAAAAAUACCCAAAACAAAUGUUGGAAAAGUAAGAAACAAGAGGUGACCUAUUACCACGCUUGGUGGACCUGUUUAGAAACAACAAAAUUUUGGAAGAAGAUACAUAAGGAAGCUCAAAAAAUACUGAAAAAAACAUUCCCAAUUAAGACAGAAUAUUAUCUGCUAGGAUUAACAGAAAAUAUAUCAAAUUUUAAUGAGAAUGAAGAUAUUAUCUUUACCAAUAUAGCCACAGCGGCAAGGAUAACCAUUGCUAGAUAUUGGGAAUUGGAAGAUAUUCCAACAAAAGAACUUUGGUUAGACAAACUAGAUGAAAUCCAUGAUAUGGACAGAUUAACCUAUUUAAUGAAAGAAAAUAGAGGAAAACCAUUAAAAAUGUCAGAAUGGAAAAUAUAUGAAGAAUAUAGAAAGAAUGCAAAGGUUUAGUCAACAAAAAGGAGUACCCGAGAAAAGAAAACAAGAUGGAGACCAGAAAACAAGAGAAGUUAAAUACUAACCGAUGGGAAAACAGUGAAGAGUAAAAAAACGGAAGACCAAAAAGACUUUUACUCCAAAUACCCUAACUUUUUAUCUUACCUCAUUCUCCAUCCCCAAUACCCCUUUUCUCCCCCCUUUAACAUUUACCUCACACUUUGUUCCAUUUACCUUUUAACUAUGUAUCUCAUUUAAGAAACUUGAAUAAAAAUUUAUUUUAAAAAAAGAA